rnacentral:rRNA from 1 species
AGUGAACGCUGGCGGCGUGCUUAACACAUGCAAGUCGAACGAGAACGGGUUAUAGCUUGCUAUAACUGUCAGCUAAGUGGCGCACGGGUGAGUAAUGUAUAGGUAAUAUGCCUCUUACUAAGGGAUAACAAAUGGAAACGUUUGCUAAUACCUUAUACUCCUUAUUAACAUAAGUUAAUAAGGGAAAGAUUUAUUGGUAAGAGAUUAGCCUGUAUUGUAUCAGUUAGUUGGUGGGGUAAUGGCUUACCAAGACUAUGACACAUAACUGGUUUGAGAGGAUGAUCAGUCACACUGGAACUGAGACACGGUCCAGACUCCUACGGGAGGCAGCAGUGGGGAAUAUUGCACAAUGGACGAAAGUCUGAUGCAGCAACGCCGCGUGGAGGAUGACACAUUUCGGUGCGUAAACUCCUUUUAUAUGAGAAGAUAAUGACGGUAUUAUAUGAAUAAGCACCGGCUAACUCCGUGCCAGCAGCAGCCGCAG